GACGAACGCUGGCGGCGUGCCUAACACAUGCAAGUCGAGCGGGGUUGAAGCGAGGGGUAACUCGAGUUUCUACCUAGCGGCGGACGGGUGAGUAACGCGUGGGCAACCUGCCUCAAGGACUGGGAUAACAGCUCGAAAGGGCUGCUAAUACCGGAUAAGCCUAUGGCCUCGCAUGGGGCCAUGAGCAAAGGGGAAACCCGCCUUGAGAUGGGCCCGCGUCCCAUCAGCUAGUUGGUGAGGUGAAGGCUCACCAAGGCGACGACGGGUAGCCGGCCUGAGAGGGUGACCGGCCACACUGGGACUGAGACACGGCCCAGACUCCUACGGGGGGCAGCAGUGGGGAAUCUUGCACAAUGGGCGAAAGCCUGAUGCAGCGACGCCGCGUGAGCGAAGAAGGCCUCGGUUGUAAAGCUCUGUCUGGAGGGACGAAGGAAGUGACGGUACCGUCCCAGAGGAAGCCACGGCGUAACUACGUGCCAGCAGCCGCGGUAAUCGAUACUCGUA
rnacentral:rRNA from 1 species